ACGAACGCUGGCGGCACGCUUAACACAUGCAAGUCGAACGAGAGAAGAGAAGCUUGCUUUUCUGAUCUAGUGGCGGACGGGUGAGUAACACGUGAGCAAUCUGCCUUUCAGAGGGGGAUACCGAUUGGAAACGAUCGUUAAUACCGCAUAACAUAAUUGAACCGCAUGAUUUGAUUAUCAAAGAUUUAUCGCUGAAAGAUGAGCUCGCGUCUGAUUAGCUAGUUGGUAAGGUAACGGCUUACCAAGGCGACGAUCAGUAGCCGGACUGAGAGGUUGAUCGGCCACAUUGGGACUGAGACACGGCCCAGACUCCUACGGGAGGCAGCAGUGGGGAAUAUUGCACAAUGGAGGAAACUCUGAUGCAGCGAUGCCGCGUGAGGGAAGAAGGUUUUAGGAUUGUAAACCUCUGUCUUCAGGGACGAAAAAAGACGGUACCUGAGGAGGAAGCUCCGGCUAACUACGUGCCAGCAGCCGCGGUAAUACGUGGGGAGCGAGCGUUGUCCGGAAUUACUGGGUGUAAAGGGAGCGUAGGCGGGAUCGCAAGUCAGAUGUGAAAACUAUGGGCUUAACCCAUAAACUGCAUUUGAAACUGUGGUUCUUGAGUGAAGUAGAGGUAAGCGGAAUUCCUAGUGUAGCGGUGAAAUGCGUAGAUAUUAGGAGGAACAUCAGUGGCGAAGGCGGCUUACUGGGCUUUAACUGACGCUGAGGCUCGAAAGCGUGGGGAGCAAACAGGAUUAGAUACCCUGGUAGUCCACGCCGUAAACGAUGAUUACUAGGUGUGGGGGGACUGACCCCUUCCGUGCCGCAGCAAACGCAAUAAGUAAUCCACCUGGGGAGUACGACCGCAAGGUUGAAACUCAAAGGAAUUGACGGGGGCCCGCACAAGCAGUGGAGUAUGUGGAUUAAUUCGAAGCAACGCGAAGAACCUUACCAGGUCUUGACAUCGUAUGCAUAGCUCAGAGAUGAGUGAAAUCUCUUCGGAGACAUAUAGACAGGUGGUGCAUGGUUGUCGUCAGCUCGUGUCGUGAGAUGUUGGGUUAAGUCCCGCAACGAGCGCAACCCUUACUGUUAGUUGCUACGCAAGAGCACUCUAGCAGGACUGCCGUUGACAAAACGGAGGAAGGUGGGGAUGACGUCAAAUCAUCAUGCCCCUUAUGACCUGGGCCUCACACGUACUACAAUGGCUGUCAACAGAGGGAAGCAAAGCCGCGAGGUGGAGCAAACCCCUAAAAGCAGUCUUAGUUCGGAUUGUAGGCUGCAACCCGCCUACAUGAAGUCGGAAUUGCUAGUAAUCGCAGAUCAGCAUGCUGCGGUGAAUACGUUCCCGGGCCUUGUACACACCGCCCGUCACGCCAUGGGAGUCGGUAACACCCGAAGCCUGUAGUCUAACCGCAAGGAGGACGCAGUCGAAGGUGGGAUUGAUGACUGGGGUG
rnacentral:rRNA from 1 species